GCGGAGUGAUAUUCAGAUCUCAACAAUUGUCGUGUUAAGACGUAUUAAUUUAUUUCGCGUGAUUUAUUAUGCGUAUUAUUCUCAUUUACAUAUUCUGCUAUUUUGUCGUCUUCCUAUGCUACUUCAGGCGUGAGCAAGACCAUCAUCCCUCUUUUCUAAUCCAGUGGAGUUUCUUCAAAAACCAGUAAACGAGAUUUUCGCUUCGUUCGUGCUCGUGUUCCCUGGCAAAGGUAAUUUAGAAGCAUCCGAAGAAUCGUUGGCGCGGAGACGCGAAAAAGAAAGAAGACCGCGCGGAGGAUCCACGGAAUGGAUGGCCGAAAACUAUUCUACCGUGAGGGAUGACAACUAGCCGAGCUUAGACGAAGGCUCAACAAGGGUGAAAAGCCGAGAGGACGCUGCAGGGCGAAAGGAAAUGUCCGUAGAGUUUGCCUCAAUUGAGCGAAAGAGAGAAAGAACGUGUAGGCGCGAGGAUAAAUGCCGUGGAGGAUGCUUGCACGAGUCAGUUUGUAAUUAGUCUUUAGUUACUCUUGUCAGGGCUGAAAGAGCAGAAGAGUGAAUGAGAGUUGGUUAUGUCGCGUCCAUACAUGUCACGAAUACAUACCAAU